UACGAAGGGGGCUAGCGUUGCUCGGAAUUACUGGGCGUAAAGCGCACUUAGGCGGUCUUUUAAGUCGGUGGUGAAAUCCUGGAGCUCAACUCCAGAACUGCCUUCGAUACUGGAAGACUUGAGUCCGGGAGAGGUGAGUGGAACUGCGAGUGUAGAGGUGAAAUUCGUAGAUAUUCGCAAGAACACCAGUGGCGAAGGCGGCUCACUGGCCCGGUACUGACGCUGAGGUGCGAAAGCGUGGGGAGCAAACAGG
rnacentral:rRNA from 1 species